rnacentral:rRNA from 1 species
CCUACGGGUGGCUGCAGUUAAGAAUCUUGCACAAUGGGCGCAAGCCUGAUGCAGCGACGCCGCGUGAAUGAUGAAGGCCUUCGGGUUGUAAAGUUCAGUAAGCAGGGAAGAAUAAGCAACGGGUAAUAUUCGUUGUGAUGACGGUACCUGCCUAAAGCCCCGGCUAACUACGUGCCAGCAGCCGCGGUAAUACGUAUGGGGCAAGCGUUGUUCGGAAUUAUUGGGCGGCGGGGGCGUAAAGGCGGUGGGUAAGCCACGGGCUCAACCCGUGAACUGCAUCUAAGACUGGUUCUCUUGAGUCCGGGAGAGGAGAGCGGAAUUCCAGGUGUAGCGGUGAAAUGCGUAGAUAUCUGGAAGAACACCAGUGGCGAAGGCGGCUCUCUGGCCUAGGACUGACGCUGAAGCGCGAAAGCGUGGGGAGCGAACAGGAUUAGAUACCCCAUGUAGUC